rnacentral:lncRNA from 1 species
UACUAAUUCUAGCUGCUCCUGAGUCCAGAGAGCGGCACACUCCAUCUCAGUGAAGUAGCUCUUUCUGAGAUUCCUCAUCCGUGGGGCUUUUCAGUUAAUCAAGAGAGUAUGUCCAGGCUAGUCUACUUAGGCAAGGUCGAGGCAAGAGGAAGCUAAAUGGCUCUGCCUGAAAAGAGAAGACAGGAAUUUUUAAAGUGGGCAAAACAAGAAUGAUAAUAGGCAUGUCUCAAGGUUGCUGUGUGGACCAGCUAAAGCCCUAUGUAAGAAAGCACUUCACAUACAGAAGAGGCCUAGUCCAAAGACGUUUACAUCCUGGAAGAGAACUUGCUGGCUUUUCACCUCAGCAUGUAUGGGCCAAACUAAUAUAACAAGAAGUCUUGAGAGGAGUCAGCGGCCAAGCUCCAUGUCUUGCAGCCAAACAAUGCUGUGGGAUGGAAGGUGGGAUGUCAUGUGUCUGGUUUACAGCACUCACGUAUCAGUUGGCAGUUAACGGAAGUGCUACUGAUUGGUGAUAUGCCUACUCCCCCUUCACCUUCGAUCAUGAUUGUAAACUUCGUGAGGACAUCACCAAAGGCUGACAUUGGCAACAUGCUUCCUGUACAAUCUGCAGAACAACGAUGGAACAAAAUAAACACCUUUUCUUUAUAAAUUACCCGGCUUCAUGUAUUCCUUCAUAACAAUGCAAAGCAGCCUAAUACAAAUUGUCAGUGAGUAGGCAGAUUUUCAGAAUGUAUGGCUAAUUGGAAUUUCCAUGGUCCUAUAUGAGAAGAGAUUUGAAGUAAUUCCAUAGAAUGUUAUGAGCGCCCUGGGAGAAGAAAAAGGGUGAUUUUUCAGAAGGAAAAGAGUGUAAGAAAAACAUGAAAUUCAAUUUUCCAAUGACAGUUCUG